CUGCUGGCCUUUUGCACCGGUCCACCGUGGACCGGGCGGUCCACGGUUGGGCCUGUGGACCGCGUGGGUGUUUCUCAUGCAUUUCACAUGGUCCACGGUACUAUUUCAUGGAUCGGUCAUGAUCGGACGGCCCAGGGAGAUUCCGGUGACGAUCCGAUGGUUGAGGAGGUUGAUUUGGCUUGUUUAGGACUCUUAAACCUAAUCUAAUUAGGUUUAAACUCUAUUUAAUCCUUUAAAAGGGCCCUGUGACGAAUAGUGAAGCAAGUGGU
rnacentral:lncRNA from 1 species